AGCAAUUAUACAGCGAAACUGCGAAUGGCUCAUUAUAUAAGUUAUCGUUUAUUUGAUAGUACCUUACUACUUGGAUAACCGUGGUAAUUCUAGAGCUAAUACAUGCUAAAAAUCCCGACUUCGGAAGGGAUGUAUUUAUUAGAUUAAAAACCAAUGCCCUCUGGGCUCCUUGGUGAUUCAUAAUAACUUUUCGAAUCGCAUGGCCUUGCGCCGGCGAUGGUUCAUUCAAAUUUCUUCCCUAUCAACUUUCGAUGUUUGGGUAUUGGCCAAACAUGGUCGCAACGGGUAACGGAGGGUUAGGGCUCGACCCCGGAGAAGGAGCCUGAGAAACGGCUACUACAUCCAAGGAAGGCAGCAGGCGCGCAAAUUACCCAAUCCCGAUUCGGGGAGGUAGUGACAAUAAAUACUGAUACAGGGCUCUUUUGGGUCUUGUAAUUGGAAUGAGUACAAUUUAAAUCUCUUAACGAGGAACAAUUGGAGGGCAAGUCUGGUGCCAGCAGCCGCGGUAAUUCCAGCUCCAAUAGCGUAUAUUAAAGUUGUUGUGGUUAAAAAGCUCGUAGUUGAACCUUGGGCCUGGCUGGCCGGUCCGCCUCACCGCGUGUACUGGUCCGGCCGGGCCUUUCCCUCUGUGGAACCCCAUGCCCUUCACUGGGUGUGGCGGGGAAACAGGACUUUUACUUUGAAAAAAUUAGAGUGCUCCACGCAGCCUAUGCUCGAAUACAUUAGCAUGGAAUAAUGAAAUAGGACGUGUGGUUCUAUUUUGGUUGGUUUCUAGGACCGCCGUAAUGAUUAAUAGGGACAGUCGGGGGCAUCAGUAUUCAUUGUCAGAGGUGAAAUUCUUGGAUUUAUUGAGACUAACUAC
rnacentral:rRNA from 1 species